UACGUAGGGUGCGAGCGUUAAUCGGAUUACUGGGCGUAAAGCGUGCGUAGGCGGUUCGUUAAGUCAGCUGUGAAAGCCCCGGGCUCAACCUGGGAACUGCGGUUGAAACUGGCGAACUAGAAUCUGGCAGAGGGGGGUGGAAUUCCACGUGUAGCAGUGAAAUGCGUAGAGAUGUGGAGGAACACCGAUGGCGAAGGCAGCCCCCUGGGCUGAGAUUGACGCUCAGGCACGAAAGCGUGGGGAGCAAACAGG
rnacentral:rRNA from 1 species